CGCCCGCUGCCCCGGUGUCCGCACGGCCUUUCCCCGCACGGAGCGCGGCCGCUCUCUGUAAAAACCGGGUUUUCUCCGGCCGUCUGUGCGUUCCGGGAAGAGAAACGGGAGACGAGAGGGCGCAGCCGUUGCCGGGGCGGUCACCCAGCGGGGCCAGCACAGGGCCGAAGCAGGAGGGAGCGCGGAUGUCACCAACGCACCCCUGGAUGAGCAUUUAAGUAACAAAAAUCUCACAUUUCAAAACACAGGUGGGAAGGAAAAGUAAUUCCAACCCUAGAAAGACCCACAGGUAAUCCCGGUAAUUACAGACCUGCAAGAGCCUUUGGACAGACUUGGCCUGGCACACACAGCUGGCACACAGGAGGAUGGCACACAGCUGGCACACAGCUGCACACAGCUGGCACACAGGAGGAUGGCACACAGCUGGCACACAGCUGGCACACAGCUGCACACAGCUGGCACACAGGAGGAUGGCACACAGCUGGCACACAGCUGGCACACAGCUGGCACACAGCUGGCACACACGUGCCCAGGCCCCUGAGACAAAGCUCAGGCAUUUACCUGCUCACUUCAACAGCCACAACCAGGAGUUCACCUGAUGCACUUGAUCUCCAGGCCACCAAACCUAAUCAGUACAGUUGUGAGACAGGGAGAACACCCAAGUUAAACCUAACUCCACAAUCACUGCUUUAGUUUUAAUACAGCAGGAAAAGCCCACCUGGAGCCUGAUCCCCGCUCCCAGGGAAGAGCACCUCUCCUCACUGCAUGGUAGUGAUAUGACCUGUUCCAGGAUGGAAGGGAUGUGUCUGUUGUGCUGAAGAACCUAAGAAGCAGACCUGUUAGAGACACUGCCUUCAAUGAAUCUGGACCAGGAGUAUCUGAAAAAAGCUGAAAGAAAUAAUGUCCUUCGGUAAAACUUAUUCAAAGUUUUUUUUCUCCUUCCCUAAGGGUAAGUUUUCAGGUCAGCAAUUGAGCAGCAGCGAGGGUGGGUGCACAUGGCAAAAAAAUACCCACAUUUAACCAAGUUUCCUCUUCCUCCACACCAAACAGCACCUCUGCCAACACCACCAAUUGAUUUUGUGUCAGCUGUCUCAAGCCAUCCUUUCUAGAAGCUGUACAUGAAGGUGCAGGUUAUACAAUCAAAACCCUGACUUUAAGAGUUAUCUAACUAGUUCAAAACACCAAUCAGUUCCAAGUCCAGUCAGUCAGCAGUGCUGAGUUGUAGAAAAUCACAAAGCUGCUACUAAAGAAAUAAAAUAAUGAGGUGGCUUGUCCCAGCCAGUGACAGCAGUGGCAGUCACAUUAUCUGUGAUGACAGCACUGAAGUUCAGAGACCUAGAAAUCAUCCAGCAAUUAAAAGAGAAAAGCACCUCCAGAGAGACACUCAAUAUUGAGAUACUUUAAACCUGAUGGUACCACUGUCCUUCUCACAUCUGUUUUACCAUCUUUCCAUAUACUUAAAUAAAAAAUUAGCAAUUUCUAAAGUUCAA